UCAUGGCUCAGAUUGAACGUUGGCGGCACGCUUUAACCAUGCAAGUCGAACGAGAAAGCACCUUCGGGUGCGAGUAAAGUGGCGGACGGCGGAGUAACGCGUAGGGAUUUACCUAGUAGUGGGGGACAACUCGAGGAAACUCGAGCUAAUACCGCAUACGCUCCAAGGAGGAAAGUGGGGGACCUUCGGGCCUCACGCUAUUAGAGAAACCUGCGUUAGAUUAGCUUGUUGGUGGGGUAAUGGCCUACCAAGGCGACGAUCUAUAGCUGGUCUGAGAGGACGAUCAGCCCGACUGGAACUGAGACACGGUCCAGACAGCUACGGUUGGCAGCAGGUGGGAAUAUUGGUCAAUGGGCGCAAGCCUGAACCAGCGAUGCCGCGUGUGCGAAGAAGGCCCUAGGGUUGUAAAGCACUUUCAGUCGUGAAGAAAACCUGAUGAUUAAUAAUCAUCGGUCUUGACGUUAGCGACAGAAGAAGAUCCGGCUAACUCCGUGCCAGCAGCCGCGGUAAUACGGAGGGAUCGAACGUUAAUCGGAAUUACUGGGCGUAAAGCGCGCGUAGGCGGUUCGAUAAGUGGAGUGUGAAAUCCCUGGGCUUAACCUGGGAACUGCAUUCCAAACUGUCGGACUAGAGUACGAUAGAGGGAGGUAGAAUUCAUAGUGUAGCGGUGGAAUGCGUAGAUAUUAUGAAGAAUAUCAGUGGCGAAGGCGGCCUCCUGGAUCUGUACUGACACUAAGGUGCGAAAGCGUGGGUAGCGAACAGGAUUAGAUACCCUGGUAGUCCACGCCGUAAACGAUGACAACUAGCUGUUGGGAGACAAUGUCUUUCAGUGGCGCAGCUAACGUUUUAAGUUGUCCGCCUGGGGAGUACGGCCGCAAGGCUAAAACUCAAAUGAAUUGACGGGGACCCGCACAAGCGGUGGAGCAUGUGGUUUAAUUCGAUGCAACGCGAAAAACCUUACCUACUCUUGACAUACUUGGAAGCUCUUGUAAUGAGAGUGUGCCUUUUGGAGCCAAGAUACAGGUGCUGCAUGGCUGUCGUCAGCUCGUGUCGUGAGAUGUUCCGUUAAGUCGGAUAACGAGCGCAACCCUUACCCUUAUUUGCCAGCGAUUCGGUCGGGAACUAUAAGGGGACUGCCGGUGAUAAACCGGAGGAAGGUGAGGACGACGUCAAGUCCUCAUGGCCCUUAUGGACUGGGCUACACACGUGCUACAAUGGGAAGUACAGAGGGAUGCUAAAGCGCGAGCUGGAGCCAAACCCUUAAAACUUUUCUUAGUCCGGAUUGGAGUCUGCAACUCGACUCCAUGAAGUCGGAAUCACUAGUAAUCGCGAAUCAGAAUGUCGCGGUGAAUACGUUCUCGGGCCUUGUACACACCGCCCGUCACAUCAUGGAAGUGGGUUGCACCAGAAGUGGUUAGUCUAACCUUCGGGAAGACGAUCACCACGGUGUGAUUCAUGACUGGGAUGAAGUCGUAACAAGGUAGCCGUA
rnacentral:rRNA from 1 species